rnacentral:lncRNA from 1 species
CCCCCCCCCCCCCCCCCCCCCCCCCCCCCCCCCCCCCCCCCCAUCGUGCGAUCCUGCACCCCCAGAGCUUGGAGUAUCCAUGGAAUACAGGAUUCGUCCCUGGGGCACACCUGGGACAUCUCCCCCCACCCUGGUCCUCACCUGGUGCCGCCUGCGCCGGCGUUUCCUGCUCUGGUGCUCCUGGGGUGGCUCGUGCCAGGGGGGCCAGCAGGGGGACACAGCCAUGGCCCAUCCCACCACGGGCCGGGCUGUGGAGAGAUCAGAUGGGAUGGGAGGGCAGCAGCCCCACACCCGGAUUAUGGAAAUUCCUCCCCGAAGUGCAGCCGCGCCCUCGUGGCUGGCCCGGGAUGGAGCAGAGGGCGCCCCCCCCCCCCCCCCCCCCCCCCCCCCCCCCCCCCCCCCCCCCCCCCCCCCCCCCCCCCCCCCCCCCCCCCCCCCCCCCCCCCCCCCCCCCCCCCCCAGCCCCACGUACCUGCCGGGGGCAGCCCCUCCUGGGGCCCCGCGGGGGGAACAUCCUGCCCGGGAGGGGCGCCCGGAGCCGCGGGAGCUACAGGGACAGGGACAGGGACAGGGACAGGGACAGGGACAGGGACAGGGACAGGGACAGGGACAGGGGGCUGGGUCAGCUCGUCCCGCAGCACGUCACUGCCGGCUUGGGGACGCUGCCAACCAGGUGCCACCAUGUGGGGCUGGGAGCCCCGUGUCGGGAGAGAUGGGACAGCCCAGGGUCACUGGGACAGACCCAGAGUCACUGGGACACCCCCAGAGUCACUAGGACACCCCCAGAGUUACUGGGACACCCCCAGAGUCACUGGAACACCCCCAGAGUUAUUUGGACACCCCCAGAGUCACUGGGACACCCACAGAGUCACUAGGACACCCCCAGAGUUAUUGGGACACCCCCAGAGUCAUAGAGACACUCCCAGAGCCACUGGGACACCCCCAGAGUUACUGGGACACCCCCAGAGUUACUGGGACACCUGAAUCCCAGUCAUUCCCCGCACCCCAACCCUGCUCCCCUGCACCCCAACCCUACAUUCCUGCACCCCAACCCUACAUUCCUGCACCCCAACUCUGCGUCCCUGCACCCCAAUCCUGCUCCCCUGCACCCCAGUCCUGCCCCUCUGCACCCCAAUCCUGCCCCCCCCCCCCCCCCCCCCCCCCCCCCCCCCCCCCCCCCCCCCCCCCCCCCCCCCCCCCCCCCCCCCCCCCCCCCCCCCCCCCCCCCCCCCCCCCCCCCCUGCACCCCCCAAGGCAUUCCCUGCACCCCAACCCUGCUCCCCUGCACCCCGAAUUUGGGAUAUCCAUGGAAUACAGGAUUCUGUACCCCCGAAUUUGGGAUAUCCAUGGAAUACAGGAUUCUGUACCCCCGAAUUUGGGAUAUCCAUGGAAUACAGGAUUCUGUACCCCCGAAUUUGGGAUAUCCAUGGAAUACAGG